GACGAACGCUGGCGGCGUGCUUAACACAUGCAAGUCGAACGCUGAAGCUCAGCUUUUGUUGGGUGGAUGAGUGGCGAACGGGUGAGUAACACGUGAGUAACCUGCCUCCUUCUUUGGGAUAACGCCCGGAAACGGGUGCUAAUACUGGAUAUUCACUGGUCUUCGCAUGGGGGUUGGUGGAAAGGGUUUUUCUGGUGGGGGAUGAGCUCGCGGCCUAUCAGCUUGUUGGUGGGGUGAUGGCCUACCAAGGCUUUGACGGGUAGCCGGCCUGAGAGGGUGACCGGUCACAUUGGGACUGAGAUACGGCCCAGACUACUACGGGAGGCAGCAGUGGGGAAUAUUGCACAAUGGGCGCAAGCCUGAUGCAGCGACGCCGCGGGAGGGAUGGAGGCCUUCGGGUUGUGAACCUCUUUCGCUCAUGGUCAAGCCGCAACAAUGGUUGUGGUGAGGGUAGUGGGUAAAGAAGCGCCGGCUAACUACGUG
rnacentral:rRNA from 1 species